GGGAAAAUAGCUCAGUUGUAGAGCAUCGGUUUCUUAACUCAAAAGUCGUCGGUUCGAUCCCCGGCUUCCCA
rnacentral:tRNA from 1 species